rnacentral:rRNA from 1 species
UACGUAGGGCGCAAACGUUGUCCGGAAUUAUUGGGCGUAAAGAGCUCGUAGGCGGCUUGUCACGUCGAUUGUGAAAGCUCGGGGCUUAACCCCGAGUCUGCAGUCGAUACGGGCUAGCUAGAGUGUGGUAGGGGAGAUCGGAAUUCCUGGUGUAGCGGUGAAAUGCGCAGAUAUCAGGAGGAACACCGGUGGCGAAGGCGGAUCUCUGGGCCAUUACUGACGCUGAGGAGCGAAAGCGUGGGGAGCGAACAGG